ACUCCUACGGGAGGCAGCAGUAGGGAAUAUUGGUCAAUGGGCGCAAGCCUGAACCAGCCAUGCCGCGUGGAGGAUGACUGCCCUCAGGGUUGUAAACUCCUUUUAUAUAGGAAGAAACCUUUGGAUUUACUCCGAAGCUGACGGUACUAUAUGAAUAAGCACCGGCUAACUCCGUGCCAGCAGCCGCGGUAAUACGGAGGGUGCAAGCGUUAUCCGGAUUCACUGGGUUUAAAGGGUGCGCAGGCGGGAAAUUAAGUCAGUGGUGAAAGCCCCGAGCUCAACUUGGGGAACUGCCAUUGAUACUGAUUUCUUGAAUAUAGUUGAGGCUGGCGGAAUACAACAUGUAGCGGUGAAAUGCAUAGAUAUGUUGUAGAACACCAAUUGCGAAGGCAGCUAGCUAAACUAUUAUUGACGCUGAGGCACGAAAGCGUGGGAGCGAACAGGAUUAGAUACCCCUGGUAGACUGUCA
rnacentral:rRNA from 1 species